AGCCAAGGCUGUGGCGCGGGAGCUGCUGGCGUUGCCUGGGGAGCUGCCGAGAAGUGUUGCACACACACUUGUAUUUCAUUAUGGAAAUGAAGCAAGGAAGCUGGAGAAUAAUCAGUAUGAAAAUCAGGGGCCUGGCUUCUCAUUUAUGUUGAAACAAGCAAAACUUUUCACCUGCUUGCUUUCCAUCCAGCAAACGGCUGGACUCUAGCUGAGCCUCACAACAGCAGCUUGAAUCCCAAAAUCCGGAUGAAGCCCCAAGUCUGGGGAUUUGGGAAGCAAGGAUUCCAGUGCCAAGUUUCCUUUCCUCUGCCUGGAAUUCCUUCUACCAUCGUCAUUCUGCUGAGCCAGGAGCAGUUCUGCUGCUGAGGACUGAUCUGUACAGAGCCAGCUGAAGUUCUGGAGUCAGUCUUGUUUCCCCGGCAGAUGCUAUUCAUGGAUACAACCAAGAGUAAAAGCAGUAGGGCAGCUCUGUUUGUUCUUAAGUGCCUCAGAAGUGACUCUUUUUAGGAAUCUACACAUGGUCAAACUUGACUUUUGUCUCUAUCAGAGCGAGAACCUACACUUUUUCUUUGGAGACUGCUGUAUCCAGUGGUUUUGUCUGUUUUCUUGGUCAAAAUCUCUGAGAAAAACUCUGAUUAUACAUGGUUUGUAGCAAGCUGUUGUUUGUGCUCUAAUAAGUUUGAGUAAUGGGGUUUUGUAACCAUCAUUCAUUACACUUGUGUUCAAAAUCAAUGCGUUCAUACUCUUGGGAUAA